UACGUAGGGUGCGGGCGUUAAUCGGAAUUACUGGGCGUAAAGCGUGCGCAGGCGGUUUUGUAAGCCAGAUGUGAAAUCCCCGGGCUUAACCUGGGAAUGGCAUUUGGGACUGCAAGGCUUGAGUGCGGCAGAGGAGACUGGAAUUCCUGGUGUAGCAGUGAAAUGCGUAGAUAUCAGGAGGAAUACCGAUGGCGAAGGCAGGUCUCUGGGCCUGUCCUGACGCUGAGGCGCGAAAGCUAGGGGAGCGAACAGG
rnacentral:rRNA from 1 species